AUUGAACGCUGGCGGCAGGCUUAACACAUGCAAGUCGUGGGGCAGCAGGUCUGUAGCAAUACAGAUGCUGGCGACCGGCAAACGGGUGCGGAACACGUACACAACCUUCCUUUAAGUGGGGAAUAGCCCAGAGAAAUUUGGAUUAAUACCCCGUAACAUAAUGAAGUGGCAUCACUUUAUUAUUAUAGCUCCGGCGCUUAAAGAUGGGUGUGCGGCUGAUUAGAUAGUUGGCGGGGUAACGGCCCACCAAGUCGACGAUCAGUAACUGGUGUGAGAGCACGACCAGUCACACGGGCACUGAGACACGGGCCCUACUCCAACGGGAGGCAGCAGUAAGGAAUAUUGGUCAAUGGACGCAAGUCUGAACCAGCCAUGCCGCGUGGAGGAUGAAGGUCCUCUGGAUUGUAAACUUCUUUUAUUUGGGAAGAAAUCUAUCUUUUCUUGGAUAGUUGACGGUACCAGAUGAAUAAGCACCGGCUAACUCCGUGCCAGCAGCCGCCGUAACAC
rnacentral:rRNA from 1 species